UACGUAGGGGGCAAGCGUUAUCCGGAUUUACUGGGUGUAAAGGGAGCGUAGACGGCUUUGCAAGCCAGAUGUGAAAGCCCGGGGCUCAACCCCGGGACUGCAUUUGGAACUGUGUGGCUAGAGUGUCGGAGAGGCAGGCGGAAUUCCUAGUGUAGCGGUGAAAUGCGUAGAUAUUAGGAGGAACACCAGUGGCGAAGGCAGCCUGCUGGACGAUGACUGACGUUGAGGCUCGAAAGCGUGGGGAGCAAACAGG
rnacentral:rRNA from 1 species